UCUUCCAACGUUGUUUCAUUUCACCCAUUUUCCCUCUUCUCUCUUUUCUCAACAAACCCUAGCGCAGCCGCUGAUUUCAUCACCUUCUUGAAGUUCUUCCUUCAACAAUAUCAGGUACUAUCUUUCUCCAACUCCUUCUUCAACCUCCAUUUCUUUCACUGCACUAACUCAUCAAUCUUACAUAUGAUUUCGUUUUUGCUUUGCUUUGUCUGAAAAGGAAGAGAAAACACAGGCUCGAUGUAUUUCUCAUUUCGUUUUCAAUUUAGUUGGACAGAUUCAUUACGAAGUAGAUUCGGUAACAUUAUAAUGAGUUUCUUUGUGUUGAUUUUCUAAAUUAACUGAAAUGAAAUUAUAUUACCUAAAAAUUACCUGUUGUUCUUGAGUAUAUGUUUCGAAAUCGAUUUGCAAAUUUCAUGUUUUGAAAUCGAUUUGCAAAUUUCUGUUCCCCAUCGCAAAUUGAAUGGAUUUGUUCCUGUUGUUGCCUACCUUUAUUGCUCUGGUUUUGUCGAUUUUCGCGAGGCUUUUUUGUUCAUAUUUUGGGUUGCUACCUUUUGUUAAGUUUUGUGCAGGUUAUGAAGUCGAUUCAACUGUGAAAUGCUGCUUUGCUACACUAUGGUUACACAGUCGUAUCAUUCACUGUUUCUUAGUCAGCAUCACCAACAACACCCCGUAUUUGGACAACUUCAUCACAACGUAAAUUUCGGUAACAUUGCCUAACAUUGGUUUUCUCCAUAUCGAUUUCUUCUAUGAGUUUCUGGGAUGAAAAAAGAAGUUGGGAUUCGAAGAAAAAUUUAUUUAGCUUCAUAACUAGACAUUAAUCCUUAAAAAGAAGUUAGAGUUUAAACUUUGGCAGCCAAUCAUUUAGAAGUGGAUGCACUUUUUGCUUACACAAAGGCAGGGCACAUGGCAUCAUAUUUGGGAUAAUCUCUUAAUUAUUCUUUUAACACUUUCAUAUUUUGCAGACAGUUUUUCAACAAAUAAGAUCUCAUGGCCAAAUUCCGUUGUUAUAUUAGUCUCAUUACCAGAUUCUUCAAUAUACUACAUGUUAGCUCUAGCUUGCAUAAAGUAUCUAUAGUAAUCAAAUGAAAGACAUGUUUUAUAGAUAGGAAAGUACAUAUUUUUGUCAAAGUUUGUACUCAUGUGCAUUUUGAAAUUUUAUAUACGCACACAUGUAUUUGAUAAAAUUUUGCUCUGGAUUUUCAUCAACAUCAGGAUACUUGAUGUUGACAAUGAACUAAUUAAGCUGAGUGCCAACUAUUGUGGUACAAAUAAUGACCUGUUUCACUACUAACUAUCUUGCCGACACUUUCAAAACGUAGGUACUCUCUUUUUCAUAUAGAAAGUUGGUUCACAAGACUUAUAAGACUACAUAUAAGAUAAAGGGAAAGUUGGAUUUGUUUGUGUCAUUUGAGUUCUACUGUUCUAAUUGUUUCAUUUAAGUUCUAUUGUUCUAUUUGUAUAACUCUCUGUAUAGCUCACAUGUGUUUGAGUUUAUUCUAAAUUUUGAAUGUGGAAAAACCUAACCUUUUGCCAAGUUUGUUCAUCUGCUAUUUUGACGUUUCAGUUUAAGAAACAUAAACUCUAUGUGACUGUGAUACAAUUAUGCGUUCCUUUGUUGGAAAAAAUUUAGGUAAGGUUGGCUGCUUUGCGAAAUGCGGGUGCUGAACGGAAGGAGUAAGUCUCAGCUUGGACUACUAAUCGGAAACUCGAAAGUGUCUAUGCAAUGAAUUUACAGUAAAUUGACAAUAGUGUUGUUAUUCCUCCAAACUGGUAUAGUUUGAUUUAAUCUACUACUGUUAUAGGACUAAUUCAUAGAAACUGAUGGCACAUUUAACAAAAUUGACCACGACAAUAACAAUGCAGGUCCGCUAUGUCAUGUGUGUGUUUCUGCCUCUUUGCGGUUGGCGUAUCAUGAACUGAUCGCCGCAUAUGAUUCAGUUUGGUUCAGGUGGUAGUUUAUAUCUGCUGGAAUUUCAAAUUGAUCAAACUCAUGUAGCUGUGAGUCUGCAACAUAAUUUUGUUCUGCAGCGAAAUUAUUUUUUUCCGAAUCUGUUACUGCAACUGUGUUGUUUGGCUAAAUGUGAUAAAUAUACGAUUUUGUAUUUUUAAAUUUUCAAGUAAAAUGUUGGCUUCUUCA